AAGCUUCACCGUUUGAGUUGAACCUUCCCUCCUUCUAUUCUAACCUCCUUGGAAACACCUUUCCCCAAAAAGGAAGCUUGAUUUUUUGACAUUGGGAUAAAAGGACUUACUGGGUGCACAACAACGCACCUGUUUACUUUUUUUUGUCUGUUUUGUUUCAAAAUGUCUGAUGUAAACAAGUUAUGGAUUGAAGGAUAUGUUUUUGCGCUCUCCGAAGAGAAAUAUUCCUAUUAUGUAAUUCAGAAACGUUGUAAAACGCAUGGUAUUAAAAUUUCUAAGAGUAAAAUAAGCAACAUUAUUAAUCGCAAGGGGAAAAACCGUCAAUCAUUACUUCUACAUGGAAAGAAGACUCCAAAUGAAUACCCGAAAAAGGUACGGACUAUUUCUAAUGUUUCUAAAGUUAAAGCAAUGGUAACAAGUGAAAAUCCGCCGACUCAAAGGUCUAUUGCAAAGGCUUUAAAUACAUCUGUAGCAACAAUAAAUAAAAUAAUAAACCAAGAUUUACAACUUAAAAAAGCUAAAUAACGUUAUGUUCGCCAGCUUUUGCCGAGGUAUGUGGCUCAGUGUAGAAUAGUUUGUAGAACCCUGCAUGAAAACUAUUUAACAUGAGAUAAAUAUCCUGUAACACUAUUUAGCAGGAAAUAAUAUUGUGAUUCUUGAUGAAGAGUGUGUUCAUCUAAAUGACUGCAACUAGAAAUAUCUAUUUUUAUCACAAACGGAAGAGAAAAAAUGUACAAACCUUGUUCCAUGAAUGCAAAGAAAGUUUCAGUGAGAGUUUUAUGAUUGUCACAGGAUUUUCUUACAGUGGAAAAUAAAAAAUAAGAAGAGUAGGGGGGGGAAAUGUUAAAGUCAGCUGAACUUACUGACAAGAAAACGUUCUACGUUGGAUAUGUAGAAAAGAAAUCAAUUUUUUUAUUACAAUGACUUUCAUGUUGUGAAACUGCAUCAUGACAAAGUAAGAAGUCAUACUUCGAAAAGUACCACUGCAUUCCUUGAAAAAAAUGAAGGCUGAUACAGAACUUGAUUCCUGCAAUGACUCCUCCACCAAAGGAUAUGCAACAUGUGCCAAUACUCUGUAAUUCUCAAGAAAUUACUUCUCCACUUUUAACACCAGUGAAUACAACUCCAAAGUGUAUAUCAGAAUCAUCUCCCCAACAGGAAGUGGACAGUGCUCCCCCUGUGCUUUCUGAUAAAAGAAUCACUGUUGGAAGCAGUGACAGCAGCAGCAAUCCAGCAUCACUUUCUUCUUCUUCGGACUUCUCCAGUUAGGACUUCUGAAACAUUGAUCAGAAGUCAUUCAAUACCUAUUGAAGUGAUGUCUCUGAUUCCACUAAAUGAUGAAAUUUUGGAUGAUCGAGAGGAUUACAGUAGUGUGUAAAAAAGCCAUUGCUUAAAUUAAGUCUCAUUGCUUAAUUUUAAGGAUUCAGUGCUUUUUUGCAUGCUUGGAAUGUUUUGAAACUACUUUCUAGUAAAAGCUAGUAGUAAAAGUCAAGAAGCAGUGCUGAUAAAUUUGCAAUUCAGAUGGCUGGUUUCAUCUCAGAGCAUAAUUAACUUAUUUGCUGAAUUGUUGAUGUACAAAGAGAGUACCACUUUUCGUAACCUGUUAUAAUUGCAAGAUUCUAGUCUUGAUUUUAUGCAGUGUUCUUAAUCUUUUUUCAAAUACAGUUUCUGUAUUUUUCUUUUAAACAAGAAAUUUCAAAAUAGAUAGUUAAUAUGCAUUUUAUAGCUUUCUGUGCAUUUUUGAUGUUUGGCUUUUCAAAGUAUAAUGUUAGGUUAAAAUGCACAUAAGUUCUAGAAGAUAUCUGUUUCUCUAUAUUUUUUAUAAAUUUUACUGGUAUUGACAUACUUUUAAGAAAAAGGGGCUAUAACAUUCUGUUUUUUUUUUUUUUUUUCCUGUGAUUAUAUAUUUUUUGUAUAUGUCAUUUGUGACAUUAGGAAUUUUUCAGUUUGGGAGAAUCUUGAAAUAUUGUUAGGAACUGUCAAAUCAUGUAACUUGCCUUUAAUUUCUGUGUAAUUCCGGCCCUUUUAGAAUUGAGUGGUAAUUCAUAUAGAGUUAUUGCUCUGUAUGUUUGAAAUAGUAUGCAGUACAAAAUCCGAAAUCCAGAUGUCCAUUAUCCGGAAUGAUCUAAAAUUUGGACCUCAAAGCCACAAACGUUUGUUUUUGUAUGCUUUAUGCAUGCGCAUUUCACUUUUCCUUCCAUAAUAAAACGUGGAGAUUUUAA